AGCAGCCGCGGUAAUUCCAGCUCCAAUAGCGUAUAUUAAAGUUGUUGCAGUUAAAAAGCUCGUAGUUGAAUUUCGGGAUCAAUACGUCUGUCGUGCCUUUGGUACGUACGGGUGUAAUUGGUUUCUACCUUCUGAGGGUCCUUGAUGUCAUUAAUUUGGUGUCUUGGGGGAAUCAGGACUGUUACCUUGAAAAAUUAGAGUGUUUAAAGCAGGCAUACGCUUGAAUACAUUAGCAUGGAAUAAUGAAAUAGGACGUUCGAUUCUAUUUUGUUGGUUUCUAGGAUCGACGUAAUGAUUAAUAGGGAUAGUUGGGGGCAUUAGUAUUCAAUUGUCAGAGGUGAAAUUCUUGGAUUUAUUGAAGACUAACUACUGCGAAAGCAUUUGCCAAGGAUGUUUUCAUUAAUCAAGAACGAAAGUUAGGGGAUCGAAGACGAUCAGAUACCGUCGUAGUCUUAACCAUAAACUAUGCCGACUAGGGAUCGGAUGAUGUUAAUUUUUUAAUGACUCAUUUGGCGCCUUA
rnacentral:sRNA from 1 species